rnacentral:rRNA from 1 species
AAAGAUUAAGCCAUGCAUGUCUAAGUAUAAGCAAAUCUAUACGGUGAAACUGCGAAUGGCUCAUUAAAUCAGUUAUCGUUUAUUUGAUAGUACCUUGCUACAUGGAUACCUGUGGUAAUUCUAGAGCUAAUACAUGCGGAAAACCCCGACUUCGGAAGGGGUGUAUUUAUUAGAUAAAAAACCAAUGCCCUUCGGGGCUCCUUGGUGAUUCAUAAUAACUGCACGAAUCGCAUGGCCUUGCGCCGGCGAUGGUUCAUUCAAAUUUCUGCCCUAUCAACUUUCGAUGGUAGGAUAGUGGCCUACCAUGGUGGCAACGGGUAACGGGGAAUUAGGGUUCGAUUCCGGAGAGGGAGCCUGAGAAACGGCUACCACAUCCAAGGAAGGCAGCAGGCGCGCAAAUUACCCAAUCCCGAUUCGGGGAGGUAGUGACAAUAAAUACUGAUACAGGGCUCUUUUGGGUCUUGUAAUUGGAAUGAGUACAAUCUAAAUCCCUUAACGAGGAACAAUUGGAGGGCAAGUCUGGUGCCAGCAGCCGCGGUAAUUCCAGCUCCAAUAGCGUAUAUUAAAGUUGUUGCAGUUAAAAAGCUCGUAGUUGAACCUUGGGCCUGGCUGGCCGGUCCGCCUCACCGCGAGUACUGGUCCGGCCGGGCCUUUCCUUCUGGGGAACCCCAUGGCCUUCACUGGCCGUGGCGGGGAACCAGGACUUUUACUGUGAAAAAAUUAGAGUGUUCAAAGCAGGCCUUUGCUCGGAUACAUUAGCAUGGAAUAAUAGAAUAGGACGUGUGGUUCUAUUUUGUUGGUUUCUAGGACCGCCGUAAUGAUUAAUAGGGAUAGUCGGGGGCGUCAGUAUUCAGCUGUCAGAGGUGAAAUUCUUGGAUUUGCUGAAGACUAACUACUGCGAAAGCAUUCGCCAAGGAUGUUUUCAUUAAUCAGGGAACGAAAGUUAGGGGAUCGAAGACGAUCAGAUACCGUCGUAGUCUUAACCAUAAACUAUGCCGACUAGGGAUCGGACGGUGUUUCUAUGAUGACCCGUUCGGCACCUUACGAGAAAUCAAAGUUUUUGGGUUCUGGGGGGAGUAUGGUCCCAAGGCUGAAACUUAAGAUUUUUUCCGAAGAAGAAAG